UACGUAGGUCGCAAGCGUUGUCCGGAGUUACUGGGCGUAAAGGGCAUGCAGGCGGUCGGACGCGUUUCGGGUGACAGCGGGUGGCUUAACUACCCGAGUGGUCGAAAGACGGUUUGACUUGAGGACGCGAGAGGGACACGGAAUUCCGGGUGGAGUGGUGAAAUGCGUAGAGAUCCGGAGGAACACCGAAGGCGAAGGCAGUGUCCUGGCGCGUAACUGACGCUGAGGUGCGAAAGCGUGGGGAGCAAACAGG
rnacentral:rRNA from 1 species